GAGCAGUAGGGGGGAUUUUAACCUCCGACAUCUGGUUACAAGACC
rnacentral:tRNA from 1 species